rnacentral:rRNA from 1 species
AGCGUACACGGUGGAUGCCCUGGCAGUCAGAGGCGAUGAAGGACGUGCUAAUCUGCGAAAAGCGUCGGUAAGGUGAUAUGAACCGUUAUAACCGGCGAUGUCCGAAUGGGGAAACCCAGUGCAAUUCGUUGCACUAUCGUUAACUGAAUACAUAGGUUAACGAGGCGAACCGGGGGAACUGAAACAUCUAAGUACCCCGAGGAAAAGAAAUCAACCGAGAUUCCCCCAGUAGCGGCGAGCGAACGGGGAGCAGCCCAGAGUCUGAAUCAGCUUGUGUGUUAGUGGAACGGUCUGGAAAGUCCGACGGUACAGGGUGAUAGUCCCGUACACCAAAAUGCACAGGCUGUGAACUCGAAGAGUAGGGCGGGACACGUGGUAUCCUGUCUGAAUAUGGGGGGACCAUCCUCCAAGGCUAAAUACUCCUGACUGACCGAUAGUGAACCAGUACCGUGAGGGAAAGGCGAAAAGAACCCCGGCGAGGGGAGUGAAAAAGAACCUGAAACCGUGUACGUACAAGCAGUGGGAGCACCUUUAUGGUGUGACUGCGUACCUUUUGUAUAAUGGGUCAGCGACUUAUAUUCUGUAGCAAGGUUAACCGUAUAGGGGAGCCGCAGGGAAACCGAGUCUUAACUGGGCGUUAAGUUGCAGGGUAUAGACCCGAAACCCGGUGAUCUAGCCAUGGGCAGGUUGAAGGUUGGGUAACACUAACUGGAGGACCGAACCGACUAAUGUUGAAAAAUUAGCGGAUGACUUGUGGCUGGGGGUGAAAGGCCAAUCAAACCGGGAGAUAGCUGGUUCUCCCCGAAAGCUAUUUAGGUAGCGCCUCGUGAACUCAUCUUCGGGGGUAGAGCACUGUUUCGGCUAGGGGGUCAUCCCGACUUACCAACCCGAUGCAAACUACGAAUACCGAAGAAUGUUAUCACGGGAGACACACGGCGGGUGCUAACGUCCGUCGUGAAGAGGGAAACAACCCAGACCGCCAGCUAAGGUCCCAAAGUCAUGGUUAAGUGGGAAACGAUGUGGGAAGGCACAGACAGCCAGGAUGUUGGCUUAGAAGCAGCCAUCAUUUAAAGAAAGCGUAAUAGCUCACUGGUCGAGUCGGCCUGCGCGGAAGAUGUAACGGGGCUAAACCAUGCACCGAAGCUGCGGCAGCGACACUAUGUGUUGUUGGGUAGGGGAGCGUUCUGUAAGCCUGCGAAGGUGGCCUGUGAGGGUUGCUGGAGGUAUCAGAAGUGCGAAUGCUGACAUAAGUAACGAUAAAGCGGGUGAAAAGCCCGCUCGCCGGAAGACCAAGGGUUCCUGUCCAACGUUAAUCGGGGCAGGGUGAGUCGACCCCUAAGGCGAGGCCGAAAGGCGUAGUCGAUGGGAAACAGGUUAAUAUUCCUGUACUUGGUGUUACUGCGAAGGGGGGACGGAGAAGGCUAUGUUAGCCGGGCGACGGUUGUCCCGGUUUAAGCAUGUAGGCUGGUUAUCCAGGCAAAUCCGGAUAAUCAAGGCUGAGGUGUGAUGACGAGGCACUACGGUGCUGAAGUAACAAAUGCCCUGCUUCCAGGAAAAGCCUCUAAGCAUCAGGUAACAUCAAAUCGUACCCCAAACCGACACAGGUGGUCAGGUAGAGAAUACCAAGGCGCUUGAGAGAACUCGGGUGAAGGAACUAGGCAAAAUGGUGCCGUAACUUCGGGAGAAGGCACGCUGGUGUGUAGGUGAAGUCCCUGCGGAUGGAGCUGAGACCAGUCGAAGAUACCAGCUGGCUGCAACUGUUUAUUAAAAACACAGCACUGUGCAAACACGAAAGUGGACGUAUACGGUGUGACGCCUGCCCGGUGCCGGAAGGUUAAUUGAUGGGGUUAUCCGUAAGGAGAAGCUCUUGAUCGAAGCCCCGGUAAACGGCGGCCGUAACUAUAACGGUCCUAAGGUAGCGAAAUUCCUUGUCGGGUAAGUUCCGACCUGCACGAAUGGCGUAAUGAUGGCCAGGCUGUCUCCACCCGAGACUCAGUGAAAUUGAACUCGCUGUGAAGAUGCAGUGUACCCGCGGCAAGACGGAAAGACCCCGUGAACCUUUACUAUAGCUUGACACUGAACAUUGAGCCUUGAUGUGUAGGAUAGGUGGGAGGCUUUGAAGCGUGGACGCCAGUCUGCGUGGAGCCAACCUUGAAAUACCACCCUUUAAUGUUU